GUUUAAAUCACAUAUCACUAAAAUCACUAGUCCAGCACCAGCUCCGCGCUCUGACUCGAUGGUCCCACGAUGAGCUCAGUGGCCCAGUGGCCCUGUGGCCUGACAUCGCUCGGCUGCUGGGGACGGCGAGGCGGCAUUGUCGGGACACCCAGGAUAUAUGCUGACGAUGUCCGUCUCUUCUGAAGACCUCUUCAGCUUCUUCGGUGGACCGCUCCUGGGCUCGCUGGAUUCAGCCGGAUACUGCGGCUGCAGUCUGUACUGCCGCCCUGCAGUCUGUACUGCCGCCCUGCGGUCUGUACUGCCGCCCUGCGGUCUGUACUGCCGCCCUGCAGUCUGGUCACCCUGGACCACUGGAGUACCAACGCAUGUGCUGCAAGCAAACUCCAGAUAUGAAGAGGCGUGGUGCUACCCUCGCCGACCAGCGAAUGGCCUCGGGACCACUUUGUACGCACGCUGGCCCUGUCCAGAUCCGCUCUCUGGCGGUGGUUUCGGCUGGGGGGGGGGGGUAGAGGCCGGGGAGCGGCAAAUGCUCUGCAGAGGUCGGAGGAGGGAACAGGAUCGUGGGCCAACGGUCGGUUCGGUGGGAGAGUGGGGAGGUCUGAAGACCAUGCGGUAUGCUGCGCUGGCGGCGGCCAGCCGCACCAGUUCACGGCAUCACCUGUCUGGAUGCGCUUCAUCUAGAGUUUCGUGCGAAAACCGACGUCACUGGUGUUGGUGCACUCAAUAAUAGUUCCGCUACGACUGACUGGUCGCCUGGUCUCCGGGCCACCCGCGGAGAUGCUUCGCCCGUGCAGCGGAAGGAGUGAUAUUUCCGAUAGUAUCUACCUCAGCGGGCUGCACUGUUCGUCAGAGACUGUGCGCCAUGUCAGUCUAGUGUUGACCGCCCUGAUUAAGGCCUCUCACUCAUGGCUAAGGACUGUUUGCCUGUGACACCGGGAGGUCUGCAGCGACUGAAGGCAACUUUAUCUGCAGGUCGGCUCUGUUCUCCAGUGUCAACCUGUUUGUGCUGCAGUGACUGAAGGCAACUUCUAGCUACAAGUCGGAACAACAGAUGGCGCUGAACCUGUCUGCGGCGGACGCCGUUGUCGCAGCUGAGCUAAACCU